AUUGAACGCUGGCGGCAGGCUUAACACAUGCAAGUCGAGCGAGCGGCGGACGGGUGAGUAAUGUAUGGGAAACUGCCUGUUGGAGGGGGAUAACUACUGGAAACGGUAGCUAAUACCGCAUACCAUCAGAUGUGGCCAGAUGGGAUUAGCUAGUAGGUGGGGUAAUGGCUAACCUGGGCGACGAUACCUAACGGGUCUGAGAGGAGGACCAGCCACACUGGAAUGGAGAAACGGUCAAGACUCCUACGGGGGGCAGAGGUGGGGAAUAUUGGAAAAGGGGCGCAAGCCGGAUGAAGCCAUGCCGCGGGGGGGAAAAAGGCCUUGGGGUGGUAAAGCACUUUCAGCGAGGAGGCGUUACUCGAAGAAGAAGCAACGGCUAACUCCGUGCCAGCAGCCGCGGUAAUAC
rnacentral:rRNA from 1 species